rnacentral:ncRNA from 2 species
GAUAUUGAUAAAGAUAUGGGUGCCUGGGAAGUUGCCGUCUCAGGUUAAAAGGGAAGCAGGUGAGAAUCCUGCACGGUCCCGCCGCUGUAUUGAGGAGAUGUUUCAAAUUUGUGCCACUGAAUUAAUUGCAGAAUUAAUUUGGGAAGGCUUGAAACGUCGAUGAUUCUAAGUCAGAAAACCUGCCUGUAUCUGAGAAACACC